CUCAGCUGUAGCAGAUGUGCUCCAGCCCCAGGACUAGCUGAGGAAACGUCUACAAUGUGUUGAAUGCCGAUGUCAUUUUACAGCACUACAGUUCCUCCCUCCCUGCCCUGUGCUGCGCUGCUCACCGGUGUAGAUGCAGAUGCUGGUGGACAAAAGGGGGCCCUGCUCCAUAUGGCUUUGUAAAAUUGCUUCACUCCUGAAGGAUGGGCACGUGUAAAGAGUGAGCAAAUGGUUGUGCAGGGCUGAGUUGCCUGCUGGGUCAAACCACAACGCCUGUCAUGUGUCACCUGAAUAAUGAGACCAACACCCUCCUCACUGCAGCCUCCUUUCAGCUCCUCAUCACUACGUGCUGGCCCAUGGACACUGAUGAUGCUCUUGGUUACUAAAUAGAGUUGGAGGUCCAUAAACUCCCUCUGGCAACAUCAGAGAUGUCAGAGACAAAGCUGGAGGAACAAACCUCAGGUGUGUCUCCAGUGAUGCCAUGAAGCCUACAGAAGUCCCUGGCGAAAUUGCUCUUUAUCUUUAUUGCUAUAUAUACUUCUUUAUCUGCUUGUCAAGACACUGUAUUUUUCCCUGAUAAAAUGAAGAACAACAGGCAUUGAACAAAAUCAGAGUGGUUGAUGAUAAUCUCAGUUAACUUCCUGGAGAUUCCAGUCAUUGGUCACAGUCAAGCUGAGCAGUGGGGUUGGAGGUAUGGACAAUUUGAACUAAGACAAGCUGACAUUAAGAAGCUGUAAUAAAGUCCAUGUGAAGUUAUCUAGUCCCAUUUCUGUCUAGAGUUCUUUGAUAUCAAAAGAGGUAUCACAGACUGUCCGUAGAUAUUUUGGAACUAGAAACUUCAGAAGGCCACUGUGAUAUAAAGAAAAUAAAUUUUGAAGAUCCUGAAGCAAGAAAAAAAAUGUCAGAACUACAGGCUUCAUCAGGGAAAGGUUUAGGCCUUAAAUUAUUUGGCUCAUAACUUUUCAGUAAUAUUGAAAGAAGAAGCUCUGAGAAAUUUUUUGAUCUAAGAUUUUGUUAAUGCCCAACCAAGAUGCAGUUCAGUCCUA
ensembl:lncRNA